rnacentral:rRNA from 1 species
AGACCGGUGCCAGCCGCCGCGGUAAUACCGGCAGCUCAAGUGGUCGUCGCUUUUAUUGGGCCUAAAACGUCCGUAGCCUGUUUGGUAAAUCUAUGGGUAAAUCAACGAGCUUAACUCGUUGAAUUCUGCAGAGACUGCCAGACUAGGGACCGGGAGAGGUAUGAGGUACUCUGGGGGUAGGGGUAAAAUCCUGUCAUCCUCAGAGGACCACCUGUUGCGAAGGCGUCAUACUGGAACGGAUCCGACGGUCAGGGACGAAGCCUAGGGGCACGAACCGGAUUAGAUACCCGGGUAGUCCUAGGUGUAAACGCUGUGGAUUUGGUGUGUGGGGUCCGCAAUGGGCCCCAUGUGCCGGAGUGAAGAUGUUAAAUCCACUGCCUGGGGAGUACGGUCGCAAGGCUGAAACUUAAAGGAAUUGGCGGGGGAGCACUGCAACGGGAGGAGCGUGCGGUUUAAUUGGAUUCAACGCCGGAAAACUCACCAAGGCCGACGGACAAAUGAAGAUCAACGUAACGAGUUUAUUGGAUUGUCCGAGAGGUGGUGCAUGGCCGUCGUCAGUUCGUACUGUAAAGCGUUCUGUUAAGUCAGAUAACGAACGAGACCCGCAUCUCUAUUUGCGACCCUCAUGUCCGCAUGAGGCGCACCAUAGAGAGACCGCUGGUGUGAAACCAGAGGAAGGCGCGGGCAACGACAGGUCAGUAUGCCCCGAAUGUCUUGGGCUACACGCGCGCUACAAAGGACAGGACAAUGGGAAGCCACGCCGAGAGGCGGCGCUACCCCGAAACCUGUUCAUAGUUCGGAUCGAGGGCUGUAACUCGCCCUCGUGAAGCUGGAUUCCGUAGUAAUCGUGUUUCAACAUAGCACGGUGAAUAUGCCCCUGCUCCUUGCACACACCGCCCGUCAAACCAUCUUAGUUGGGGAUGGAUGAGGCUGCGUUUUAAUGGCGUAUU